CCUACGGGAGGCAGCAGUGGGGGAUAUUGCACAAUGGGGGAAACCCUGAUGCAGCGACGCCGCGUGAGUGAAGAAGUAUUUCGGUAUGUAAAGCUCUAUCAGCAGGGAAGAAAAUGACAGUACCUGACUAAGAAGCCCCGGCUAACUACGUGCCAGCAGCCGCGGUAAUACGUAGGGGGCAAGCGUUAUCCGGAUUUACUGGGUGUAAAGGGAGCGUAGACGGCAGCACAAGUCUGGAGUGAAAUGCCGGGGCUUAACCCCGGAACUGCUUUGGAAACUGUGCAGCUAGAGUGCAGGAGAGGUAAGUGGAAUUCCUAGUGUAGCGGUGAAAUGCGUAGAUAUUAGGAGGAACACCAGUGGCGAAGGCGGCUUACUGGACUGUAACUGACGUUGAGGCUCGAAAGCGUGGGGAGCAAACAGGAUUAGAUACCCGGGUAGUC
rnacentral:rRNA from 1 species